AGAGUUUGAUCCUGGCUCAGAUUGAACGCUGGCGGCAUGCCUUACACAUGCAAGUCGAACGGCAGCACGGGGGCAACCCUGGUGGCGAGUGGCGAACGGGUGAGUAACAUAUCGGAACGUGCCCUGGAGUGGGGGAUAACUAGUCGAAAGACUGGCUAAUACCGCAUACGAUCUACGGAUGAAAGUGGGGGAUUCGCAAGGACCUCAUGCUCGUGGAGCGGCCGAUAUCUGAUUAGCUAGUUGGUGGGGUAAAGGCCUACCAAGGCGACGAUCAGUAGCUGGUCUGAGAGGACGACCAGCCACACUGGGACUGAGACACGGCCCAGACUCCUACGGGAGGCAGCAGUGGGGAAUUUUGGACAAUGGGGGCAACCCUGAUCCAGCAAUGCCGCGUGAGUGAAGAAGGCCUUCGGGUUGUAAAGCUCUUUUGUCAGGGAAGAAACGGUCUGGGCUAAUAUCCCGGGCUAAUGACGGUACCUGAAGAAUAAGCACCGGCUAACUACGUGCCAGCAGCCGCGGUAAUAC
rnacentral:rRNA from 1 species